rnacentral:tRNA from 1 species
ACCGAGGUGGUGGAAUUGGCAGACACGCUACCUUGAGGUGGUAGUGCCUCUAAGGUCUACGGGUUCGAGUCCCGUCCUCGGUA